UCCCUCAUAGCUCUGUAGGUAAAGAAUAUGCCUGCAAUGCAGGAGAACCAGGUUUGAUUCCUGGUUGGGGAA
rnacentral:tRNA from 1 species